rnacentral:rRNA from 1 species
UACGUAGGUGGCAAGCGUUUUCCGGAUUUAUUGGGCGUAAAGGGCGCGUAGGCGGCUUUUCAAGUGACGGGUGAAAUCCCUCGGCUUAACCGAGGAACUGCCUGUCAGACUGGAAGGCUUGAGACCGGGAGAGGUGAGUGGAAUUCCCAGUGUAGCGGUGAAAUGCGUAGAUAUUGGGAGGAACACCAGUGGCGAAGGCGGCUCACUGGACCGGAACUGACGCUGAGGCGCGAAAGCGUGGGGAGCAAACAGG